rnacentral:tRNA from 1 species
UCUAGUAUGGCAGAUUAGUGCGUUGAAUUUAAGAUUCACUUAUAAAUAUUAAUAUUUUAUUAGAA